UACGGAGGGUGCGAGCGUUAAUCGGAAUAACUGGGCGUAAAGGGCACGCAGGCGGUUAUUUAAGUGAGGUGUGAAAGCCCCGGGCUUAACCUGGGAAUUGCAUUUCAGACUGGGUAACUAGAGUACUUUAGGGAGGGGUAGAAUUCCACGUGUAGCGGUGAAAUGCGUAGAGAUGUGGAGGAAUACCGAAGGCGAAGGCAGCCCCUUGGGAAUGUACUGACGCUCAUGUGCGAAAGCGUGGGGAGCAAACAGGAUUAGAUACCCCGGUAGUCC
rnacentral:rRNA from 1 species